rnacentral:sRNA from 1 species
AAGAAACUCAAAAUAUAAUGAGAAAUCCAGACAUAUAAACUAUUAUUAGACAAUGUGAAAAGUGAAAUUAGCAGUUUACAAAGAGUGCUAUUUCUGAUUCUGUUCAUGCCUUAUACUUUCCUUUUACUUUGCCUGAACUAAAUACCCCCUGUGUUGCUACAUAAUCAUCAUGAACAUCUUUAGUGGCAGUAGAGUAUUCUGUCAGUUUGUAAUUAUUUGUGUUUUUGUGCUUACUAGAUUGUAAAGCUGUAUGAGUACAAGGACCUUCUUUAUUAUUGUAUUUUUAACUGUUAGCAAAAUGCUUAGGAAAUAUUUGUUGAAUGGAUGAAUGAAUUGUUUAGAAUAAGUUCCUGGCAAAUGUGCUAUAAAACUACCCUUUGAUUUUCCAAAGCUGUCAGUGAUAAAGGGUUUGAAGAAAACAUCUUGAGUUUGAGGUGUACACAGUACUGUGUGCAAACUUUUAAUUAGUGCUCUGUGUGCAUACACACGUGCACGGGUUUUCAUUUACAUUUAACAAUUUCUUUGAACUAACCAUUAGCAUUACACUAUGAAAAUCGCAAAAGAAAUUUACUCUGUUACAUAUCUCUUAUUUUUUGUACUUAAACUCUAGCAAAGUAUGAAGAAAGAUAAAGAAGGGGAAGAAAAAGGGAAGCGAAGAGGAUUCCCCAGCAUCCUGGGACCCCCACGGAGACCAAGCCGUCAUGACAACAGUGCAAUUGGCAGAGCCAUGGAACUACAGAAGGCGCGCCACCCUAAGCACUUAUCCACACCCUCAUCUGUGAGUCCUGAACCUCAGGACUCUGCCAAGUUGCGCCAGAGUGGGUUAGCAAACGAAGGAACAGACGCUGGAUACCUGCCUGCCAAUUCCAUGUCUUCUGUAGCUUCAGGGGCCUCUUUUUCCCAGGAAGGAGGGAAAGAGAAUGAUACAGGAUCAAAGCAAGUUGGAGAAACACCAGCACCUGGAGACACCUUAGAUGGCACACCUCGUACUCUCAAUACUGUCUUUGAUUUCCCACCACCUCCAUUAGACCAAGUGCAGGAGGAGGAAUGUGAAGUAGAAAGGGUGACUGAACAUGGGACACCAAAGCCCUUUC